ACGGAAGGCAGCAGUGGGGAAUAUUGCACAAUGGGGGAAACCCUGAUGCAGCGACGCCGCGUGAGUGAAGAAGUUAUUCGUAAUGUAAAGCUCUAUCAGCAGGGAAGAAAAUGACGGUACCUGACUAAGAAGCCCCGGCUAACUACGUGCCAGCAGCCGCGGUAAUACGUAGGGGGCAAGCGUUAUCCGGAUUUACUGGGUGUAAAGGGAGCGUAGACGGUCUGGCAAGUCUGAUGUGAAAGGCAGGGGCUCAACUUCUGGACUGCAUUGGAAACUGUCAGUCUUGAGUGUCGGAGAGGUAAGCGGAAUUCCUAGUGUAGCGGUGAAAUGCGUAGAUAUUAGGAGGAACACCAGUGGCGAAGGCGGCUUACUGGACGAUAACUGACGUUGAGGCUCGAAAGCGUGGGGAGCAAACAGGAUUAGAUACCCUGGUA
rnacentral:rRNA from 1 species